AUCGCGGGCUCCAGCGCCACAAUGGCAGUUGCUGCUGGUGGAAUUUGUGUGUCGCCGGCCUCACUGGGCCAAGGUUCCUGACGUCACAAAGCAUGAAGGUAGCUGAAUCCAGGCCAGAUGAUCCUGGGGAAGAUUUAACUAACAUUUCCUCAAUAUUGGUUCCCGAAAAAAUAGUUGCCAUUUAGCCAGCUGCCAUAAAGAUAGCCAUCUCCAUCUGAUUUCUUUGGAGCUACACUUUACAUAUUCAACUGGAAUAUUUUAUCUAUCUCAGGUGGUAAACAGAAAAGAUCCCGUCCACAACAGGUCUAACAUUUGUGUGUUCACUCUCAUAAAAGCCAGUCCCACGUUAAAUCUUGGACAAUGUGCAAUCAUUACAGUCCUUCUGGAACCCACCAAUGCCAAGGCAUUUGUUCCACAAGACAGCCUGGAACCAAGAUGUAAUCAAGCCUUUCACUUAUCCCACUGGACUGGGCUAUGAAUCAUCUCCCUUUCUUACUCAACUGGCACAGAUAAGUAGCACCUGAACAGCAUUUUGUCUUCUGAAGAGUAUAAUGUCCUUAAAUUACCAUACAGUACUAGUUGUUGUAUUCACUUGCAGCUUUUAUAAAGCCAGACAUAUCUCAGGAAGGCCAAACUAAUCUCAGGAAGCAGCCCACAUGUGGAGAAAUCCCACUGCAGAGUUCAAAACCUCUUAAGGAGAUAGAGUAAGCUGAAUCGUCCUCACGGUCACCUGCCUGGGAAACUUGAGCCCACAGCACCUGAACAGCACAGUGGCUCCAAGUAAUGACACCACUUUUUGUUCUCAGGUUCAUUUCACUGCCUAAAUCCUUCUGUCACCUGCCUCUUCCCUAGGGACUGAGCUAAUAGAAGAUUGUUACAUCUAUCAGCAAAUCCAUCUGGUUCACUGAAAUUUAUCUCACAAAUAGCAGCUAAUCAAAAGAUGGGAAGAACAGCACAAAGUGGUCUAAUUUCUAUGAGUCCCCCCUAACUUUGUUGAAAAAAAAAAAGCACUAGCUUCUCCUUCAUUGCAGCAGCAGCCUGUAAGGUAAUGGAUCCUUUCAGAGCAUUCAGAUAUGGCCUAAAUCAGGGCUCUCUAUCUGGCUUGUUCCUGCCAUUUUAUUCCAGUUAAAAUUGCAGUGCUUCAUUCUUCCACCGAAAGUGACUUUCUUUAUUAAUCUUCAUAACCUAGAGAGAGUAUAAAUAUUUAGGUAUAUACAAAAGGUAAUGAUGCAUUGACAAUAUAAACAAAGAGCAGGGAAAUCUUUACUUUUGCCUUUAGAUUCUUGCUGAAUAUUUUACGAGUCAAUGGGGUCUUCUUCAUGUUUUUCCGAGGGUCACAUUUGCAGCACUCUCCUCUGCCAGUCUGUGGCUAGAACAGUUUCCCAACCAGAGGCUAUAGUGGUAAAGAACACACACUCUCGAGCCACCUGCCCAGGUUUAAAUGCUAGCUCUUGUUCACUAGCAUGUAGUUUUAGACAAGUUACUCAAUCUCCACAUGCCUCGGUUUCCUCCUUUGCAACAUGGAGAUAAGAUAAUAGUGCCUACAUCAUGAGAUGGUAGUGAGAAUUCAUUUAGUUAACAUGGGUGAAAUAUUUAAAUAUUAACUGUCUCAUUGUUAAGUGCUAGAUAUUAUCAUACUUAAAUAUUACACAGAGCACAAGUUCUAAGAGAUGUUCCUGGGAAAACAAGAGUCUAUAAGCAAAUAAGAUUGGAAAUGCUUCCCACUAACAUAUUUUAUCAAGUCUACAAAGCUAUCUAAUAGGUGCCAUUAAGAAAGAAAAAACAACGCCAAUUCAACAAGGACACAACAUUCUGCUAGGGAUUUGCCAGUUCUAGUUUCAGGUGGAUUGGUCUCUCUGCAUGUGGCAAGCAAUCCUUUUGCACCCGUCUCAGUCACAAAAUAAAGCCUCCACUAAGAACUUAAGAACUUUCUUAAGUCCUAUCAAGCACUUGGUUAUUCAUUCAUAAGAAAAUACGGAAUUGUUGUUAACCCUGCAAUAAUGAGUUUUUGCUGCUCUGACAUCAUAGUAUGCCCCACUGCUCUGUUUCCAUACCUUGGGCAUUUAUAGUUGCUUUCCGUUUCAAUGCCAAAUCAUGGCAUGAUUUCUGUGAAGAUGUUUUAAAGAGCCAUUAAAUAUAUAUGUUCUAAGAAUGUACUUAAUUGCCAUGAUACAACAGGAAUAGCUGAGACCAAGUUCAUACACGUCCAGGCAAUGACUGACCACCAGGGCACAGCUGCUGCCUGGCCAACAGCGGCAGUAAGAUGCCAGUGUCCUUAAGAAAUACCGUAUUUUUCAGACUAUAAGAUGCACUUU